UCGUGCGUUAGUGCGAUCAGAUUUCAGCUACUGACACAAGCAGCUCCCAUCACUGUGUGCGUUAUUGCAUUCGAGUAGCUCUCGAUACGGGUCAAAAACUCCAGUACAGUAGGCGGAUGGUUAACGUGGUGAUCGCCAUCGAUCCAUUGGUUAGCUGCGUCCACAUGCGAACAUUGAAAAGUAUACAUACAUCUUGUAUAUUAUGAAUGACGAACACCGUGGGGAUUCGACAUCAGUUGGAGUCGCUAUCUCCAUCCUGGCCGUCGAUUGAAGAGAGUGAGACGUAGGACCUAAGAAUUGGAUCGAGACAGUGGUGGAAUGCGAAGACCCGCAGUGACAUAUCAUCGAUUUUAUUACAGUACAUUCUUCGAAAGAGAUACACGAAAUAUAGCUAUAUACUUAACAAUGAGAGAGGACAAAUCGGAGAACAGACUAGAAUUACAUAGUAAGGGAAAAGGAAGUCGCCUGUGCGCGAAUGACACAUCACGAUCGACACUUACUCUCGAUAGGAAAUCUAUUGAGCACGUUAAUCGUUGCGUAAAUAUUCGCAUUGACACAUAGAAAAUUACAUAAUACUGUGAUGCAUUGGAGAUAGGAAAUCGUGCGGCGAAAUCGUAAGAAUGAAUUGCUCUCGCGUUAAAAUGGAUACGCAUCAAUAGCGUUAGAAACACUAACGCUGGGUGAGUCUCGUCGAUGCAGCCAAUCUUCGAUACAUGUGUAUAUGCAUGUAUACUACGCGACUUUCUUCUUCUCUCCACUGCCACCAAUUGGUCGCGAAUCUAACAAGCGAGUAUUCAAGUAUUUAACACCAGAACUAUCAAAGUGGUCGAAAUUUAUAACGUUCUAUAAUUGGAAAUUUUACACGUUUAUGCAGUGUAUUUUAAGAUAUUCGAGCGACUUUUGAUAAAGUAUAUCAACAGAAGCUCGUGCUCUUUAUCGUAUUAUUAUUGACUCUCUCUCUCUCUCUCCCUCUCUCUCUCUCUCUCUCUCUCUCUCUCUCUCUCUCUCUUUCUGUAAGGGGGCAUUGUACUUAAAUUUAGCUAAAACGGCUAAAAUUAUAAAAUUUUUAAAUUAAUUCAUGUACCGAUAAUGAACGUACGCUGUUGCAUGAUAUAAAAUGUAAUAUAAAAAUUAAAUAAUUUUUCCUUAGAUAAUUUAAAAGUAUAAUUUAAAAGUUACUUUAAAUGUGCAAGUUUUGUGGGUGCAAAUAGUCCCAAUUUCAAAAAUUGGCGGGGGGACUACUUGAUGUAUUUCGUAAACAAAUUGCUAGUUGUAGGUGAUACAAAAAAAAAUGUUUCCUAGGGCAAAGAAACGCUUAACUUUUCCGAGGUACCUUGCACUUUAAUUUCUCUGCUACGAACGUUAUAGUUUGGACGUUGGUAAUUCUAGUGUCAAGUAGUUGAGUAGCAAUGUUUCAGUCGCUCAAUGUCUUUCUUCCCGCAGUUGCCUGCAUCCGAGACAACAUUGAAAUCUUAAUCGUUAGCCGUGGUGAUACAAAAUCAACGUUCCGACUGCCAUCGUCGGAAUGGGUAAGACGCAGACAUCGGGUAAAAGGGAAGGGAAACGAAGUGAAGGAAGGAAAAUGUUCGACGAGGAGAACAGUACGGUCGAUAUUGCUGAUCGACGACAGGUACAUACGGACAGGUGAACGAAAUUGAUGUUCUAGAUUUGGAAAAAGAAAUUUUUCUCAAUACUUUCGUGCGCAGCUCCGCAAUCGAACAUGAUUGUCGUUUUUUUUCAGUUUGUACAUACGAUACAGAUCAUCGUGAUACUUAGGUACUUGGAAAAGCACGAAAUCGCGAGACUCGCCGAUUAAGGACGUUUUAGGACCGUUGCGAACGUCUCUUCUCUCCGCGCCGGAUCACAAUUCCGCCGGAUUGAUUAUCAAAAUUAACUCGCAAGAACGCAGACUUCGACUGCCGCGGCCAGCGACUGGAAUUCGGUGUGUAAAGGUCACACUCGACUUUUGUCGCGAGUUCUCGUUCUGGAUGAUUGUCAACGAUUGUCCAUGAUGAUUGUCCACGCAGUUGAGCGAUCUGCUGUCGCGUUUCUUGCAGUCACGCUGAUUGAACCGUGAUUGGGCAAA